UACGGAGGGAGCUAGCGUUGUUCGGAAUUACUGGGCGUAAAGCGCACGUAGGCGGCUUUGUAAGUUAGAGGUGAAAGCCCGGGGCUCAACUCCGGAAUUGCCUUUAAGACUGCAUCGCUAGAAUUGUGGAGAGGUAAGUGGAAUUCCGAGUGUAGAGGCGAAAUUCGUAGAUAUUCGGAAGAACACCAGUGGCGAAGGCGACUUACUGGACACAUAUUGACGCUGAGGUGCGAAAGCGUGGGGAGCAAACAGG
rnacentral:rRNA from 1 species